rnacentral:misc_RNA from 1 species
UCUCCGUAGGUGAACCUGCGGAGGGAUCAUUACAGAGUUCAUGCCCUAACGGGUAGAUCUCCCACCCUACGUUAUCAUCACUUUGUUGCUUUGGCGGGCCGUCAGGCCUCGGCUUGGCUACCGGCUCUCGCUGGUAAGCGCCCGCCAGAGAACCCCAAACCCUGAAUAUCAGUGUCGUCUGAGUACUAUAUAAUAGUUAAAACUUUCAACAACGGAUCUCUUGGUUCUG